CCGUGAGCUGCCCAGUGACGCAAGUGUACCAGGUCAGCGAGACGGCAGAGCGGAAUUACAGAAGCCAUCUUCUCUAAAGUCAUAGUUUGUUUUGUUUGUCAAGUCAACCAGCGGUUUUCUCAGCUCCCGCUUUUCCCCAGUCGCCCUUCUGGUUUUGAUCUUUGCCUGUCCGGACUCUGAGCCCACCUGCCUGACCACUCUGCCUGACCCUGCCUGCUGUCCUGACCCGUUGCCCCCUACUCUGGAUUUCUGACCUCUGCCUGACCUGAGCCUGCCUGCCGUCCUGUGCCUUGGCCCCACCUCUCUGGAUUAUCGACCCCUGCUUGCCUUGACUUGUCGUUUGCCUGCCCCUGUUGCUGUAAUAAACAUUGUAACUUCAACACAGUCUGCACUUGGGUCUUACUAGAAACGUUAUAGAUGCAUCCUAAAUAGUUACACAUGUAUCUAUAUGCAAUAUCCUCCUUUGCAUGUUUGGGUAUUAUUCUACACACUGGCUAUUUUAAUGAGCUCUGACACCAAACAAGACCAAAUUUAGUUGGACCGGAACAAAUCUGAACCAGUCAUAGACGCCUAUGUUUCACAAGUUUGGACAUCAAGGUAGAGUAUAGUUCAAUACAUUAUAGUGGACUCAAUUUUAGUGUGCUCUACUGUAAACUGUACGGAACUCUGCUCUACAGUACAGCACUGUACUCUACUGUUCUUUACUGUGCUGUGCUGUCCAAACUUGUGAACCCAACUGUGCUUUGUGACUGCUAUGAUUUCCCGUUGUAGCCAAUUCAAUACAGAAAUUUUGCUAGCGG
ensembl:lncRNA